AGCUGUGAGUGUCAAUGGCCUUAAUUCACCAACUGAGACACAGACUUUACAGAGUGGAGUAAAGAACACGCACCAGGGGCAGGAAGGUGCCUCGGUGGGUAAAAGUGCUAGCUCGACAAGUCUAAACAAUCUUGAGUUUGACUCCAGGAACCCACAUACAGACAAAUAUGUAAUCCCAUUCCUAAGGCAAGGUGGAAGGUGGAAAAAUAGGAAGGACCUUGCCUCAACAAGGGAGAAGGUGUAAGUUGUCCUCUGACCUCUCCAUAUGCAUCAGUGGCACAUAUGUAUCUGUAGUCACACUCACAUGUAAUAAUAUUAAUAAAUAAAACAUUUUAAAAACCACUUUAAUUGAGGACGAAACAAACAGCAUCAGCAACAAUAAAAACCCCUAGGGGAGCUGAGAGUGUAGCUCACAGUACGUGCUUAUAUUCCAUGCAUCAAGUGCUGGGCUUGAGUCUCAACAAUCAAAACUAAACAACAAAGCAAAUAAAGUAUUAAUGGCAUUGAUUAGGUCAGCACACUUCUCAAUUACUUAGCUAUUGUACCAACUUUCAGUUGAUCACAGACUGAUUAGUCUCCUUUCUUUUGUUUCCAGAGCUAGGACCUGAUGCAUACUAGGCCAAGAGAUCUACUGUGGAGCCAUAUCCCAGCCUCUAGUUCAUGGCAUUUCUAUUACCUAGGAUUUGUUCAUCUCACAGUAUCUGACCGUGGCAAUGAAGAUUUAAUUUAAGUCUCUAAGGCAGAAGUUUUGUGUGUAUGUAUGUUUGUAUAGUUGUAUGCACAUGUAUAUAUAUUGAGUGUGUAUGUAGGAUGUGGAAGUCAGAGGUCAAUGUCCUAUGUCUACUUCAAUCACUUUCCACUGUUUAGUUAAGUUUUGUUUUCAAGACUCUCCUUAUAUAGCCCAGGCUGGCCUUGAACUCAUAGACAUCUGCUUGCCUCUGCCUUCUGAGUAAAGAUGUCAGACCUGGCUUGCCACAUUCUCCGGUCGAGUCAGCGUAACAGGCUGAGGCUUAAAAGCUACUCAUGAAGCAAAAGAGAUUUACAGAAACUCGACCCUGGAGUCUGGUGUUCUCUCUAACUCAUACAUUAAUAUUCCAUUCCCGCGUUAGUCUAGUGUAUGGAUCCACGUGCUCUCUUUUAGUAUUUUUAAGAUUGAAUUCUGACAUAGCUAAAGCCAGUGUUCCAACAGUCCUAGAAUGUCCUUGAGCAAGACCAUGGGCUUGGAAUUCAAUAAGAGUGUUGCCUAUUCAGUGACAUUCAGAAUAGCCUCUGGUACUACACUAUCACUUAGAAUAAAAGCCAAGUCCUCCCAUAUACAGGAAUUUACAAUGGUUUAGGAAGUAGAUCGGGCUGUGGUUUUAGAGUAUUGCAUUGUUCAUGAGAUGGUUAGCUAGAACGGAACUCCCUAGUUAGAACCAUGACUUGGGUGUGAAAGCCCUUGCCCUAGGAGAGUAAAGACCUCACACCUGGCUUCUAAGACUAUAGCUGAGUUUCACCCAUACACACAUAUUUACAAUGGCCUAAGGGGAAGGUGAACUAUACAGUAGACAAAAAUAGGAACUAUGGCAAGGGCACGAAGCCCUUGACCCUGGCUUCUAAGAUUAAGCGAAUCUUAGGUGGAGCCCUUUUUGAUCUCAGUUGUUAACAAUGAAUUCUAUCCCAGGUGGUUCCCGUUAGACCUUCUGUGUUUGCAUUCCUCUGUUUUAUGUAAGAAUCCAGUAACCUCUUUGUACCUUGCUGGUGUGUCACCCAACUUCCUUAUUGUCUUCUGCAUAAAAAGUCUGAUGCUCGAUUUGACAAAAUACAUUCAGAUCCAACACAACCUCUCCUGUGUGCAUCUGUCUGUCAAUUCAUCCAACGCUUUGCCCACCCGUGACUAGAGACCUGUUCCAUGAAGACAAAGGGGCCCAGAGGGUCUGUGGCACUGGCUUCACUGUAUUUUGUUGCUGUUGUUGUUGUUUGUUUUCUAACACAGUGUCUGUCACUGAACCUGGAGCUCACUGAUGUAGCUAGGCUAGCUGGCCAGUGAGCUUCAGAGACCCAGCGGUUUCCAUCUCCCCAGUGCUGGCAUUUCAGGUGGUGCUCAGGAUCCAAACGCAGGCUCAGGAAGCACUUUAAAAACCAAGCCAUCUCCCUAGCCCAGGGAGUGCUGAAAUAACACUAAAACAUUAGUUUUGAAUCAGGUAUAAAUAGAGUUUAAUUGCAAGAAUCUACUCCUGGUAUUCACACAUUAAGCAGAACAGAAAAGCAGUCUAGAGACAAAGGAGAGGCCACCCUCUCCAUGUCUUCAGGGCACUCACCUCCCAAGGGAGCUUGCACAAUACUAACCUGGCAGAGCCUCGCAGGUCUUUAAAUUCUACAUUGAGAAGAGGCAAGAAGUUGCUUUUACAGAACGGGCAGGUUGUAUUCAAAUUUGAGUCAUCUGCUGUCCAUCCAGCCAUGAUUUCCUCAUCAUAAACCAGAGCGCCACAAGCUCUGCACUGUGAGCAACUCGACAUCAAAACCUAAAGGGAAAGCAGGAAGACAGUCUCUAUGGCAGAAGUGGGUCUCAGUGGUCUAGUCUACUGGGGAAAAAUUUCAACUUUUAGUUAUUUUAUUGGUUUCAACUAGGGUUGACAGCUCUUUUAUGAGUCUAUUGCCUCAAAGAUAUUAAGCACUCCUCUGACUAUCCAUAUAGAUCCCCUUGAAUCCUAUUAAGUGCUAUUAUGAGAUAAGAAUAUGUUUACAGGGCUGGUGAGAUGGCUCAGAGGGUAAGAGCACCCGACUGCUCUUCCAACGGUCCUGAGUUCAAAUCCCAGCAACCACAUGGUAGCUCACAACCAUC
rnacentral:lncRNA from 1 species